UAGAGUCUGUAUUAAGGUUGUAAAAAAUGUAAUUUUCUUUUAUUGGAUCAAUCAUGCAGGAGAUUGUCGUUUGGUGAUUGCGAUGAUCUUCUUUUUAUUGUUUCUGAGUUGUGUAUGAGCUUUGUAGUAUAUUUUGUCACGAAAUCGCCAAAGGGGGAGAUUGUUAAGGAUUUUAUAGGUUGGCGAAUUUAGUAAAGUUGAAUGGAGUCUUGAAGAGUUGAUUGCGGAAGUUUGAAGAAAAGAUCCAAAUUGAAGAACAAAGACU
rnacentral:lncRNA from 1 species